rnacentral:tRNA from 1 species
GCAGCUCAGUUGGCAGAGCAUUUGCCUAGUAUGUGAGAGGCCCUGGGUUCAAUCCCCAGUACUGCA